CCGCUCGGCGGCGGCGAGCAGACUGAGCCGAGUCCUCGCGCCGCAGGCGCUGCCGGCUCCGGGCUUGACCCCACCGCUCUCCUCGCUGCCAGCCCACUCCUCAUCUUGCAGCGGCGGCCGUCCGUCUAAAGAGAUAUUGACUGAAGAUGCAGUCCCUGAUACAAAUGCACACCCCGGGAUGCAUAAGAGCCCAGGCGCACGAACGUCAUCCAUGUGGCCAGACCAACUGACACCAUUUGAUGGUGCUGUCACUUCUCAUCUCUUUCUUAGCAAAGGCUCACAUAAAUUUCUACUUUGGCCCAGAAACGUACUCCGUUUUCCAUGAAGACCAAGUCCCUGAAAACUUUCCACCAGCCUGGAAAUCUGGGUCUGUGACUUAAGGAGCCCUCCUAUUUUGUUCUUUGCCUGACCCACCCACUUGGAAAAGCAAACGCUGCCCUGGGUCCUCCUUUGCCGGGAUUGGAGUCUGGACAUCUGGGUCUCAUCCUUGUUCUGCAACGACUUCCUGCGGUCUAGAGACUGAGCCAGUUAUCAACCCUCACUUGUGCCCAGGUGAUCCUCAAGACACCACUGUGGGACAGCAAGGACAGAUGCUCUGCUCUGAAACAAACCACUUCAGUCCACCUCUUCAUCCGAGGCAGAUCCUGCUGGACUUGGCACCCUUUUGCUAGAAGAAAUGGCAUGUAACAUAUCCCAGGAGCAACUGUCACUAUGUCAACCCAGAAGCAUGGAGUCAGCGCAAUUGGAGUUCACCUGUUGACCACUGAAGGACCAUUGCCAGCUAUUGGUCAGGACAAUAACUUUUGCCUUUGCCACAGGAUCUACCCCCGGGGGAUACAUUAUAAAAUGGCCCUGGGACCAGCAGGUAAGUCCCUGGCGGUGGGCAUUUGCUGCCCUUAGGGAAUAGGAGUAUUAAGGGACUUAUAGAUUUCAUCUGUGUAAUACUCAGUCCCACCUAAACCUUCUAAAGUAAUCCAGGCCCCCUACCAGAGAAAGGUACCAUUGUAUUAACCUGUGGUCGGUUAUACUAUCUCUCCAGCAUCCGGCCUCAGCUGUAAGGACUGAUGGUGAACCAGGGGUAUGUACGCAGGCCAGGACAUGGCCACAGGGGUGGUAUUAUCUCAGAAUGCUCUUCUUGCAUUUUGCUUAAUGGUCAUGAUCUUCUCUGUAUUGUGCUUGUUCCACAUUUUAUAUUUCGUCCCUAGUCUGAGUGGACUGGAUAACAGUGGUGGCCAUAGGAGUUUGAUUGCUGGGAUUACAGCGAGAUGCCACUGUGCCUCUGGGGUUCCAUGAAAGUUUGACCUGAUGAGCACCUCCAGUUUGCCCACCUCUUGGACUUCUGAUACUCUUUAGCUGCUGUUGUCUCUAUUGCAUUUGUGGUAUUUGGUUGUGGGGCACCACUACAUAUAUAACCCCGGGGAUGUCAUGGAAGAGUGUGGACCAAAAAAGGGGUUGUGCAGGGUAUGUGGGAUGAAGGGUAUGGUCAGGUCACUCAAGAUGGCUGUUGUCUUGCUCUUUGUACAUCCCCUGCUUCCCUUACACCCUACUCACACAAAUGUGCUUGUCCUCUGACUCUGCUAGUGAUUGUUUUAGUCUUGAGGCAAGAACAGCUUCACCUGCUAGUUUAUUAAAGGAAAACAUCUGCCCUCCUGAUGGUUGUUAACCUGAGGGGCUGUGAGGGACCUGCCCCAGUUACUAGUUCCCCUGGUAACAGAUGAGCCGACCUGAGGUCAAUUCCCCCUAUAAAUGGUAGCCUCCUCCCCUAAGUAGCUAGGAUUGCUGCCAUGGCUGUCAUCUGUCCUACACAGUACCGGUGGCCCUUUGUUUUGGACUAGAAUUUUGUGUAGGAUUCUCUGAUAGAACUGUAUCUGCCUCCGCCUCUGGGUUCUUCCUUCAGUCUAGAGCCUGGGCAACUUACAAGGCUUGAAAGGCCUGCAGGGUGCAGCCCAGCACGGUCUAAGAUUGAUCUGGGUUUCAUCUCAUUAGUUCCUGCCAACCUUUGGAAAUGUUAAAGGACACUAAAGGGCCCAGAGUUGGUACAGAUGAAUGAUUAUCUGCAUGAAUAGAUAAAUAGAAGGGUAAAUACAAAAGAAAAAUCUUUCAGGUAAAUCUUCAACUGGAUAAUGGGCACCCUUGAAUUUGAGUAGAACAUAAUGUACAUGAAGGACAUGCCUUAGAAAGGUACUCUAGGCCAAUUGUUACUGCCCUGGACAUUAGUCUGGCUUGUGAUUUAAUAAACUGCUUUUGUUGGGCAAAUGUCCACUGUGUCAUUGUUGCUGCAUUCUUUAGUAUGUAAAAGUUCACUUUAGAAUUACAGAUGUGAAUUUAUUCCUACAUAAGAGUUUUACAAUUACAAAUGAUGAAUGGGAACAAGAGUCUCUUCCUAUUUCCAGUGGGAGCUGUCGUCCAAUUGAUUCUUCCUUUGCUAUGUUCCUUGUUAGUCCUGCGUUGGUUAUCUGCUCACUGAGGAGAAACUGUCAUAUUCCUCUUCGUGUCUUCCCUCAGCUGCCACAGUUCUGGUAUGUAAUAGUCAUCAAGUGGCCACUUCAGUUUCUUCUUUCGCAUUACUACUGCCACUAUCUUGGCCCAGAUAUUUUGCAUAUUGAGGUUCCCAGGCUAAGGACUGAAUCCAAGCUGCAGCUGCAACAUAUGUCACAGCUGCAGCAAUACGAGAUCCUUAACUCACUGCACUUGGCCAGUGAUCAAACCUAUGCCUCCUCAGAGACCCAAGCAGCAGCAGAUUCUAAUCCACUGUGCCACACACAGCAGGAGCUCCUUGGCCCAGAUAUUCUUGGAAUGUCUUGGAAUAUUACUAAACUUGUAAUAUUUACAUGCUUGGAAUAUUACUAAACUUUAAUGCACACCUGAUUCUGUUGACUGCCCCUUGCCCCCCAACCCAAAAAAUUCGAUUUAUGUAUAUGGCUGCUUGAUGAUUUAUAAAUUAAUGCAUUACUACACAACCAAGUAUUUUUCGUCAGGAGAUGCUUGAAAGCAUAAACAUGUUGCUAUUAGUUUUCCCUUUUGUCUUAAGCAGUUUUUCUUAGAUUUGCCUCAUACUAAUAAUCUGGGAACUUGAAAUGCUUAGGCUACAACUGAAUCAAAAUUCCUACAAGAGGAGCCCAAGAAUCUUUAUUUAUCAUACAUUUGGGUGACUUUUACGAUUAGGUACUUGUGGUUCUUGGACCACAGCAUUGGCAUCACCUGGGAACAUGUGAAGAAUGUAAAUUUUUGCCCCUUCCCACUUUGGAGCCCAGCAAUCUGAUUUCAUAAAUCCUCCAGGUGAUUUUUUUUUUUUUUUUUUUUUUUUUUUUUGCGAUUUCUUGGGCCAUUCCCACGGCAUAUUCAGGUCCUAGUUUCCACUUAUUCUCCAAAAAUAGCUCUCUUGUGGCCUCUGCUGUUGAUAGCAGACAACUGCUUCACUGAUUCCUUAAGUGCAUGCUAAUGAAUUCAAGGAUGCUGCACUUUUCUAAGGAACCAUUCUAAUAGCAUCAACUCAACAAAGAGAAAGGUUUGGGGAUGUCUCAAAACUGCUAGGCUUGCCAGGAUUAGACAGCUGAAUGGUGAAAUUCUAAAUUCUAUUGUAAAUGCUUAUUUCUGAAGUGGCACAUUUCAAAAUUAAACUCAUGCUUAUUAACAUGUCAGGAAUAACUGAUUAAGAUUCUCAGGUGUGUUCUUUAAAAAGAAAAAAAAAACUUUGCCGUUUUGGAAAAAAGUUUGUCAAAUUUUGCCUGAUUCUGAUUUGCUGUAUUUGUAUUACACUUGGUAAAGAUAAAGUGCUUGAUAAAUAUUAAGUAAAUGUACUAGUGUUACUUGGUUUGUAUAGCACUGUUCGUUUUUUGGGAAUGAAAUCAUGAAUUAAAGACAAUCUGGGGAAGAAUCUCUGCAGUCUUUUUUUUUUUUUUUUGGUCUUUUUGCUAUUUCUUGGGCCGCUCCCGCAGCAUAUGGAGGUUCCCAGACUAGGGGUCGAAUCGGAGCUGUAGCCCGGCCUACGCCAGAGCCGCAGCAACGCGGGGUCCGAGCCGCGUCUGCAACCUACACCACAGCUCACGGCAACGCUGGAUCCUUAACCCACUGAGCAAGGGCAGGGACCGAACCCACAACCUCAUGGUUCCUAGUCGGAUUCGUUAACCACUGCGCCACGACGGGAACUCCUCUGCAGUCUUUCAGAGUUGUUUUAGAGGGCCUAGGAAUGCUCCCUAUAGUUUUUACUUCCCAGCCCCACUCCCCGCCCCUCGGCCUUUUUGGCCACCUGGAAGCAUAUGAUGUUCCAGGGCCAGAGAUCAGAACUGAGUCACAGGGCCCACAGCUGGGCCCUUUUACCCACUGUGCUGGUUUGGGGAUUGAACCUGUGUCCUGGCACUGCAGAGACACUGCCGAUCCCCUUGUGCCACAGCAGAAACUCCUGAGUUUUUAAAUACAUGCUUGAUGUAAUUUAAACUGAGUUACUAAAUACAUUAAGCCUACUAACAUUUGCUUUUCCAGUUGGCCUUUGAGAAAUUUUCCAGUAUAUGAAAGGUGUUAGGGAAUAUUUUUCUGCUUCAUUUGUUUUUAAGGUAUCAUAUCCUCUGUAUAUUUAUUUGGGUAUCCAUGAUUAAAUCAUUCAAACUGCUGCCUCUGACAACCUUAGGUUUUCAGUGGUUUAAUGAGAAUGCCUGUUAAAGGCAAGAAAGGUGUUAAUCCUAUGUUAAGUGCUGACAGAGGUUCUGCAUGCUUUCAAAGUUUAAAUCACAGGUCUUCAACUUCAGAAAGCUGACAGGCAACCUGAAACUCUCUAGAACUCUAAUUUCAUCUGUAAUUAGAGGUAGAGGUAGCCAAGUGACAAUUCUGCCCAUUGAAAUAGGGAAAGAUACUGGGAAGGGCCUUCUGAAAAAAUUUUUAAAGAGGGACAAAUGAUACGUGCUUUUUUUUUUCCCCCUUUAUUCCUGCCUAGAACAUGGACAUGAUGCUAGAGGUGGCACAACUUUUAAAUAGCCACAAGGAUGAUGAUCACAUACAAAGUAUGAAAGAGCUAAAAGAAAUCUGUGUCCAUGGGGACCUGGACUGCUGACCUCCAGGCUUAAAGUGAGAAAGAUAAAACUAGUCAUUUGUUGUUUAAUCUGUUUUUUUGGAUUUAUCUUUUGCAGCUUAAUGUUAAGAUGAUAAAUAAAUUGACAAGAUUAUAUGAAGAUUAAAGAGAAAACUCUAUGUGAAGAGUGUAACAUGGUUCCUGGCAUACAGUAAGUGACCAAUGAAGUGGUGCUAUCAUUUGAGGGAGAUUAGCUGACCGCCAGCAGAAAACAAGAAUCAAAUAAAGGAUAAACAAUUUGGAGAGGAAAGAAAAGUGCUGAAUUGAAGUUAUGAUAGGGCUGUUGGAAAAAAAUUUUUGAGACUUACAUUCAGAACCAAUUUACAAAGAGGGCCUGACAUAUAAUAGGUAUAAAUAUAAGUGAUUUCUUUUCCAAUCCUCUGUGAAAACAUAAACCUGAUGUCAUUUAUCCACAUGAGAAACUUAUUCAAUGAGGAAGACGAGACUAAAAGAUUUUUAAAAACUCAGAAGGAAAGAUUAUAUCUAUAAGGUUAUUUAGAUUUUAGUGAGGUAUUCCACUCAGUGUAUUAAUAUACUCCUUAUAUAAUACUGUCAAGAUAUGGAUGAAGGGAGUACACAAGACACUGAUAAACAAAAUGACACUAAAAAAGUGACACAAAUGUGGUCGCUCAUCUUGAUGACUCAGAUGCUAAGCCCCAGAGGAGCAGAAAGUUGCUAAAUAGGGAAUUCUAUUUUGCUGCCAUACUGGAAGUUCAUAACAUUAGUCAAUUCAGAGAAACAAUAUAAUAACUGAACUUGAACACAUGGAUAGAGAACUCAACCAAUUCAGCUUGAAAUCUUGCACCAGGAAAAAUAUGAAAAAGAAAACAUGUGAAGAGCUGGAAUAAUGUGAAAAGCUGGAAUAUAAUCAGGUGGUGUUAAUUUAUAGCACAUAACAAAGGAAAGAAAGUUAUUUGUAGCCACUUAGAAAGGAAUUCAUUACAGAAUAGUACCUCAUUUCAAGUCUGUGAAAGGGAGAAGCUAGAAAGUGAAAAAGUCUAUUAAAAUUUAGCUUCACCCUCCCUUCCCGCCCAGCGUAUGUUCCCAGGCCAGGGAUCAGAUCAAGACACAGCUGUGACCUAAGAAGCAGCUGCAGCAACACCAGAUCCUUUAACCCAUUGUGCUGGGCUGGGGAGUGAACCUGUGUCCUGGAGAUGCAAAGACAUUGCCGAUCAAAAAAAGACUUAAAUGCCAGAUAUUGUAAUGACUUACAUAAAAACAAGAGAAUAAAAAUCUGUAAUGAUUAACACAAAGUCACUGCUGAAUAUGAAUGCCAAGGGAAGAAGCAUUAAAAGACCUGAAAAGGCAACAAAUCAGACUACAACUCUCUUAUUUUCAAAACUGUAAUUGCAUAUUACCAAAUAAAGUAAUAAACGACUCUUAAGUUAGAGUGCAAAAAUGAAAGCACCUUAUUUUAAAGGUGCAAAAGCAAGGAAAUACAACAUAAGUUUAUCCACAUUUUAAAUAGUUGGCUGUGUGGUGGACGCCAUUUAAAAACAUUUUCAAUAGAAAAAUGAUUUAUAAAUCAGUUUACAAAAGAU